AUUUGAAUCAAACUACCUCACAUCCUAUCCUUAUCCAUAUGGGAUGCCAACCUUGACAAGGUUGCUCGAGUGUGUGCAACAUCAAAGAGAAGGGUUUUUACCAUGAAAAAAUGAGAGAAAGAGGUGGGGGGCAUGAUCUCUUCUGGGCGGACAUCAAUUGGCGUGGUUUGCUUGUGGCACUAUCUCCUAAACCCUAACCCUCUCUUCAUAUAUAAGGGGUCCAAUAGUUGGAUGGCAAAC
rnacentral:lncRNA from 1 species